GCCAACAUGAUGUAGUGGUUUGAGCGUUGGACUAUGACUCUAGAGACCAGGGUUCGAAUCUCCGCUCAGGCA